AAAGGUUAACAGGUUAGGGCUUGGAUCUCCUAACCUGACACUACAUCAUGAUAACCAGAUCAAAGUGGGAACAAAGGUUUGAAUAAAAUACCUGUCGGAGACGACGAUGGAGGUGGCGGCAACAGUAAUGAGAUUCUCAGGUAUGCUCCAAUGCUCUUCUAAUUCCACUUUAUUCCUUCUUCGUAUUCUUCUUCUGUCCAAUGCCUUGUUCUUCCACUUCUUCUUUAAUUUCUUGCUCUUACUUAGAAUGGAGAUAUUGAGUUUUGUGAGUGUGCCCAGAAUGUGUUAGAAAGCCAUCCUUCCUCCCUAAUGAUUGGCAAUGAUUGCCUCAUUUAUAGAGCAAUCCAAGGGGGUAGUUUAGGGAAUUGAAUCUGAGUUGUUAGAUCAUGAUUUAUCCAGCUGGAAAUUAAGUGAAUUUCUGGAAAUGAAAUUUGAGCUAUAAUAUGGAAUUAGGUCACGUGGCAUUUAGCUGUGCACAUGAUUUAUUCCCUUUAAUUCAUUUGCAACUGAUUUUCCAUUUAGCUUUGGAUAUUUGAACUGAAUUGCAUCAAAUUGGUUAGUAUAUGUUAUUGGUUCGGUUUACACUCCUACUAGGUCUCGACCUGUUUUGCUUUUGGUUAGCAAAAAAAGAGUAGUUGGAAAUGGUUUGUUCUCGUUGUGUGACAUGUCAUGUAUGAGAAACUUGGUUGCUAAUUAUGCUCGGACUGUUAUGAUUAAUUUGGAAGUUGAAACAGCUAUGCUAUAGUGAUUUUUGUCAAGAUUAGCUUCUUAACUAGUUGAACUUUUGUUUAAUCAAAUGAAUGUGUUGUAAUGCUCAGGACAAAAUGCAACGACACAAAAUUGAAUUGCAAUUUCAGCAUGCUAGUGAAAUAUGAAUGCAUUAUUAGUAAUUGAGAAUUGAUGAUCAUUAGUCAGGACUUGCUAAGGAUGGUUGUGAGUAGUCAAUUAGCAUUGUUUAGGUUAGUUUAAAUUCUGAAUGAUUGUUGUUAGCUAACUUUAUUAGUGAUUCACUUGUUAUAUCAAUGCUAUUUUGUUAUGUUAUCAUAGCUUGUUAAGUUGUAGUUUGAAACAACAUGGAGUUAGUGAAUGUUAAUCAUUGCAUGCCAUGGUUUAUGUUUAUGUUGCUUAGCAUGGUCUGCAAGGUUUGUGUAUGAUGCACAAGUUUUAUCCAUGAUUGUUGUUGUGAAUCGAUGCAAUGGCUUGUGGUUUGGAUUUUUCUGCUGCAAUUUUGUUGUUAUGCCUUAUUAGAACCAGCUUGUGAUGACUUGAAUUGAUUGCCAUUGCUUGAUGUAUUUUGUGGGAUGGAUGAGGUCUUGUCUUGCAGCCCUGGGAGUCAGUUUGCAGGUACAUGUUUAUGGCUGCAUGAUGUCUAUAAAUGUUGAUAUGGCUAGACUGUUUUGCACCGUCUUGGCUUAUUCGCAUUGUUCUGAAUUUGGUUGCACAGGUUUACAACAUGAUGAUAUUGUGCAGACCUUGGUUUCAUGUGACUUUACAGGGUCAUAUUGUGUUGCAAGUACUUCUGAAAUGCAUACUGAUUGCAGUAUAGUGGCUUGGCCCUUUAGCUUUAUGCUUAACUGCUAGUUCUUGACUGAUGCGGUAAGUGUUUGUUGACAGCUUUGCAAGGAAAUUCCAUAAUGCCUUGACUUAUUCAUGUAAAUGUUGGAUUGUACAUGGUAGUUUCCACAUUAUGACUUGCUUUAUGUUGUGAAUGAUCCCAUUGUUUUCCACUAGGUCCCUUGCUCAUGGUUAGGCACAUGGGGUGGGCAAAGAUUACAUGCCACCAAAGGUUAAGUUUUGGAUAGUCAUGGUGCACAAGGUGAAACUUCAAGACCAAGGAUCACAAUUCAAGAUUAAGAGGAUGAUUAGAAUUGACAUUGGGAUUUUUAGGGCUUGGGUUGACUUUGGUCAAAGUUGACCAAAAAGUCAGCAGUUGACCAAAGUCAACAUGUGGUCAAACUUCCAUUUUCUUGUAAACUUUCCAAUGCUUGAGUGAAUUGAGAUUGAAAUGAAUGAAUUUGAUGAUUAUGGCCAUGCCUUGAAUUGAAAUGUACCCAUUGAAUUUUAUGUAAACUUGACCUUUGAACUAAAUGGAUUUGAUAUGAACUAAAUGAUGAAUGGAUGCAAUGAUGAACUUGGUGAAUCAAUGAAUAUGGUUUGCAACUCGGAUAA
rnacentral:lncRNA from 1 species